GAUGAACGCUAGCUACAGGCUUAACACAUGCAAGUCGAGGGGAAACGACAUCGAAAGCUUGCUUUUGAUGGGCGUCGACCGGCGCACGGGUGAGUAACGCGUAUCCAACCUGCCCAUCACUUGGGAAUAACCUUGCGAAAGUAAGACUAAUACCCAAUGACAUCCCACGAAGACAUCUGAAUGGGAUUAAAGAUUUAUCGGUGAUGGAUGGGGAUGCGUCUGAUUAGCUUGUUGGCGGGGUAACGGCCCACCAAGGCAACGAUCAGUAGGGGUUCUGAGAGGAAGGUCCCCCACAAUGGAACUGAGACACGGACCAAACUCCUACGGGAGGCAGCAGUGAGGAAGAUUGGGCAAGGGGCGAGAGCCUGAACCAGCCAAGUAGCGUGCAGGAGGACGGCCCUAUGGGUGGUAAACUGCUUUUAAAAGGGAAUAAAGUGGGUCUCGGGAGACUUUUUGCAUGUACCUUAUGAAUAAGGACCGGCUAAUUCCGUG
rnacentral:rRNA from 1 species